rnacentral:rRNA from 1 species
CCUACGGGCGGCAGCAGUGAGGCAUAUUGGUCAAUGGACGAGAGUCUGAACCAGCCAAGUAGCGUGCAGGCUGACUGCCCUAUGGGUUGUAAACUGCUUUUAUAAAGGAAUAAAACGAGGCACGUGUGCCUUUUUGUAUGUACUUUAUGAAUAAGGAUCGGCUAACUCCGUGCCAGCAGCCGCGGUAAUACGGAGGAUCCGAGCGUUAUCCGGAUUUAUUGGGUUUAAAGGGAGCGUAGAGGGGUUGUUAAGUCAGUUGUGAAAGUUUGGGGCUCAACCAUAAAAUUGCAAUUGAUACUGGCAGUCUUGAGUACAGUUGAGGUAGGCGGAAUGCGUGGUGUAGCGGUGAAAUGCUUAGAUAUCACGAAGAACCCCGAUUGCGAAGGCAGAUUACUAAACUGCGACUGACAUUGAUGCUCGAAAGUGUGGGUAUCAAACAGGAUUAGAUACCCCUGUAGUC